GUAGGGGGCAAGCGUUGUCCGGAUUUAUUGGGCGUAAAGCGCUCGCAGGUGGUCCGUCGCGUCGUGUGUGAAAGACCCCGGCUCAACUGGGGAGGGUCAUGCGAUACGGACGGACUGGAGGCCAGUAGGGGGAUGCGGAAUUCCGGGUGUAGUGGUGGAAUGCGUAGAGAUCCGGAGGAACACCAGCGGCGAAGGCGGCAUCCUGGACUGGUCCUGACACUCAUGAGCGAAAGCGUGGGGAGCGAUCCGGAUUAGAUACCCGGGUAGUCCACGCUGUAAACGAUGCGCACUAGGUGUCGGGGGUAUCGACCCCCUCGGUGCCGCAGCUAACGCGAUAAGUGCGCCGCCUGGGGACUACGGCCGCAAGGCUAAA
rnacentral:rRNA from 1 species